GCGUACCGUAUGUUUCCUCGGCGGGCUUGCCUGCCGGUUGGACAUUAUCAAACCUUUUUGUAGUUGCAAUCAGCGUCAGAAAACAAAUAAUAAUUACAACUUUCAACAACGGAUCUCUUGGUUCUGGCAUCGAUGAAGAACGCAGCGAAAUGCGAAAAGUAGUGUGAAUUGCAGAAUUCAGUGAAUCAUCGAAUCUUUGAACGCACAUUGCGCCCCUUGGUAUUCCAUGGGGCAUGCCUGUUCGAGCGUCAUUUUGUACCCUCAAGCACUGCUUGGUGUUGGGCGUUUGUCCUGCAAAGGACUCGCCUGAAAGCGAUUGGCGGCCAACGUACUGGUGGUAGAGCGCAGCACAAUUUGCGUCUCUCCCCUCUGCGUCGGCGUCCAUGAAGCCUUUUUUCAACGUUUGACCUCGGAUCAGGUAGGGAUACCCGCUGAACUUAAGCAUAUA
rnacentral:rRNA from 1 species